GCGGGGGUUGCCAAGCCAGGUCAAAGAACGAACAAAGGGUCGCUUGAACGCGCAGGGCUUAGGACCCUGUCCCGUAGGGGUUCGUGGGUUCGAAUCCCACCCCCCGCACCA
rnacentral:tRNA from 1 species